CUGAUAUUCUUUGAGUAAGUGAAGAUAAUGUAUCCCUGUCUGCCUCGCUGUUUAGUCACACAGUCACUGUUAUGUUUGGAAAAAAAAACAAAGCUACCGUUCUUUAUCUCCUAUCAGUUUUUUGUGAUGGAACUGAUUUAAAUGCUUAUAUUUUCGUGAUUGUUUAUGAAAAAUAAAAGCAUAAACUUUAAAAGAAGUUGACACAAUGGUGAUAGUGGGGUGAAUUGGUGUGUUAGUUGCUUUAAGUAUCAGUAAAGCAAGGGUAUGGCAGUAAUACCUCCAACUAAAACAUGUACAUAUAGUUUAGGAUGUGGUGCAUCCCUGGGAACAAUCACUCUGGAACAGAUGAUACAUGAUUAAUGGUUUUAUGAACUUGCUUUCAUGAAGCUUAACUUGUUACCAGCUACCUGCAAAUUAACAGGUGCAAGUAGUAGGGGAGACCGGGGCUUGUUGUCACAUGGGUAAGUUGUAACAUUGCAAUUGUCUUUGCCACCAGAGGGCGCAACUAAAAAGUGGAAUACUAGUUUUCUUCCUUUAUAUGGUCAGGGAUAUAUCCUGUCUGAGAAGAGAAGAGCACAUUGUGAGCCGAAAUGAGUACCAAUAAAUAUUUCACACAACCCAAAGCAAAAAAAAUUAACUGAAUACAGUCCCUGACAAAAGUCUUGUCGCUUGGGUACAAGUUGACCUUAAGUGCCCCUCAAAUAUAUGUGCAAUAAUUUUUUUUUUACAAGAAAUGUCUAAUUUCAAUCCCAACAGUGUUUGAAAUAAUGUCUUGGUGCCAAAUGAAACUGCUGAAAAGCAUUCUAAUGUUCACAGCUUGGUAAAGCCCACUAAGUCAGUUUUUGCACAGACAAAAGUCUUGUCGCCUUGUCAUAUGAUGCACCCAAUCCAAGAUUACAGCCUCACCUGUGAUCAAGUAUUGACCAAUCAAUUAGUGGGUGUAUAGAAAGAACCACACCAGACCUUCACAUCAACUGCAACUUAACCUCUGACAACAUGCCUAAGAUUCACCCUGAGACCAAAGCUUUGAUUAUCAAGAGGCUGAAGACCAGAUCCACUGCUGAGGUGGCUAACACCUUCAAUGUGUCUCAGCGUCAAGUACAAAGGAUAAGAAAAAGAUUUGAAGAGACUGGAGAUGUUUAUGACAAGCCCAGGCCCAGCAGACCCCGAAAGACAACUGCUCGGGAGGACCAUUUGUUGGCUUGAAAAUCCAAGGCCAGCCCCUUUUCCACUGCAGCAGAGCUCCACCAGGUCUGGUCACCUCAAGUCCCUGUGUCAAUCAGAACAGUUUGUCGAAUUCUGUCUCGACAUGGCCUCCAUGGUCGAAUCAGUGCCCAGAAACCAGCACUAAACAAAAAGAAAUUAAAAAAACUUGUGGCAUUUGCCAAGGCCCACAGCCUGCUAAAAGGAUGCACGCUGGAAAAGUGGCAGAAGGUGGAUUUUUCUGAUGAAUCUUCGGUUGAAUAACAUCACAACCGCUGCAAAUAUUGCAGGAGACCUACUGGAGUCUGCAUGGAUCUGAGAUUCACCCAGAAAACAAUUAAGUUUGGUGGUGGAAAAAUCAUGGUCUGGGGUUGCAUCCAGCAUGGAGGUGUGCGAGAGAUUUGCAGGGUGAAAGGCAAUAUCAAUAGCCUAAAAUAUCAACAAGUAUUAGCUACCUCUUACAUUCCCAACCAUAAAAGGGGUCAAAUUUUGCAGCAGGAUGGUGCUCCAUCGCAUACUCAGAUCUCUACAGCAAAGUUCCUCAAGGCGGAGAAGAUCAAGGUGCUCCAGGACUGGCCAACCCAGUCACCAGACAUGAACAUCAUCGAGCAUGUCUGGGGUAAAAUGAAAGAGGAAGCAUGGAAGACGAAACCAAAGAAUCUUGAUGAACUCUGGGAGGCAUGUAAGACUGCGUUCUUUGCUAUUUCUGAUGACUUCAUCAAUAAAUUGUAUGAAUCGUUGCUGAACUGCAUGGAUGCAGUUCUUCAGGCUCAUGGAAGUCAUACAAGAUAUUAAAUAUGGAUCUCACAGCACCACUACUUGAUUCACUGAUGUUGUGCAACAUAUUUUGUAUUUGAAGUAAAUUAUUUGUUCAAUUUUCACAUUACUCUAUGUAGGCGACAAAACUUUUGUCUUGCCAAAAUCUGACCUGUCUGUGCUCAUUAAAUGAUCAAUCUUUCUUCGGUGAAGGAAAUUUAUUUUAGAUUUUAAACAUAAUUUGGGAGGUUUUUUAGCUUUCAUAUGAGCCAUUUCUAAAACCAAUGGAUUAAUAACAAGUCAGGUUAUUAGCUGUUGUUUCUACAAAAUGGAUAAGUGACAAGACUUUUGUCAGGCACUGUAUAUUUUAAAAUAAGUUUCCAAAAAAAUAAAAAUCCUAGCAGUGAUACAUGUGGGCUUGUUAGAGGAGCGUUUAAGGCAUCCUGUCAUACCUCAGUCAUUGUUCUGUUUUAAGCUAACUAAGCUAGAGCUAGAAUUAGCAAACAUGGUAGUUUGGGGCAACAAGUCUCAGUCAUUUUGGGGUUAGUUGUCACAUGUUUAAAAGGGAUUAAAAUUAACAUAGAGAGUCUGCUCAUCAGCAGUUGUCAUAAUGAAAUUUUGAUUUUAUUUUUACAGAGAAAAGAGCGGUUUAAAGGAGAGAAAAAAGCGAGAAGACAUGGUCAGGAGUUACAAAAGAAAAACAGAAUGUAGUGCAGUACCUGACAUGAUGCUGAGGACAGUCAGGCAGGUGACCCUCGCUAAUAAAUCAAUCUGGAGGACAAUAAAGGACUUUAAUGUCAACUACCAUACCUUGGCUCGGUAUUGCAAAACAUUCACCCCAGCCGAAAUACAGAGUCAGACAGCUCUCCAAACUCCAGAGCAUGUUGCAUAAUAUUUUAUGUUAACAUUUGUUGAAUGGCUUUUUCUAGCUCAAUGAUAAACAUUUUCUGUACCUGACUUUGAUGUUCACUUUCAUGGAAAAAAAUGAGAACAAUAAUAAUUUUGUCCUUGUUUUAUUAGCUGAACAAUCAACUGUGACAUCUUACCCAAUGUAGUGAGACAACUUACCCGAUGGUGGGGCAACAUGUCACAUGUUCACACUCGAAAUUUGAUAGCUUAUAACUCUGCACUGACUCAAGAUAUGAAAAUGACAUGAAUACGAAAUAUAUACCUGAGACUUUGGUUUUUCAUUUGUUACACAUUUUGUUUAUAUAUGAUGUAUUGAUUCCAAGAAAUAUACAAGAGUGUGAAAAGUGUGACAACAAGCCCCGGUCUCCCCUAAUGAAUUCUUUUUUUUUUUUUUUCCAGGAGUGACAUGGUUCAAACACAGGUGUUGAUGGGCAUUAGUCACAAAGAAUUAGUUAUAUAUACACAUACACACAACAUCCUUAUUGUAAAAUGCAUAUAUUUUGGUUAAGUUUGCCUUAUAAACUCAAACUCUUAGAGGACUAAAACAAUCACCCCAGGCACCGUAAGGACUCAACUCUCUUUUCUCUCCAAAUGUAUAUCUUUAGGAUGGAUGAAUGACUAGACUCUAUUUUUGAUACUAUGAAACCAGAUGUUUCGGCAGCAUCCUCAAAACAGACUGUCUGAACAUUUUGGUCCUUUUAUUUCACUUUGAACUGAUUCGGGACCCUCAGAAUAUUUUUACAUCCCAAAUUUUAAAAGAGGUUUCAAAGAGCUCUUUGAAUAAAUGACCUCAAUCCACUUGAAUAUCAGAGCAAACACUCCCUGCCUAAAUUUAGACACCAAUAACAUUGAAUAUUUGUCAUUGGGUAUUGGUGCAUGUAGCUCCUCGCUGAGCAAAUAAAUGAUCCUUCAAGUUAGCUAAAAGGAAACUUCAGUGAGCAACAUCACUGUUGUGUUUAUGCAGGCCUGUUUCUUAAUCACACAUACAAUACUUUCUGUGCUAUCAUUUCUAAAUUCAAAGUGAAUUUAUUUCCAUUUACUGUAUAUUGGUUUUCCGGCAGCCUUGGGCACAGUGAGCUUUAAGUGUUUGUGUCCCGGUUCCUGCUGGGGAGCCCUGGAACGUUUUCUGUUUACGGCUUUACUGUGAUAACAUUUUCCCCUCUGAAUCACAG